rnacentral:tRNA from 1 species
GUUGUAGCUCAGUGACAGAGCAUCUGCUUUGCAUGCAGAAGGUCCCAUGUUCAAUCUCUGGCAUCUCCA